CCACCCUGGGGCCAUUAACACAUCCCAGACAGCAUGGGGAGCAACCCAGCCGGGACCACGAGCAUCACCCCAUGGCAGCACUCGGGGUUUCUCCCCCAGCCCUGCACCCAUAGGGGCUCCGUGCUCUGGGUGCCCCGUGCUUCCCACGCAGGGAUGUGCCACACUGCAGCGCCCGACACCGCCUUCGCCCCCGGCCCUUUGCGCAACACUGGGGCUGUGGCACAGAGCGGGAUCAGCGCACGCAAGCAGGGCCAGGAGGGAUGGGGACAGCGGUGGGGGUCGGAGCUUUAUUAGAAACAGGAGAGGGGAGGGGGAGGUGGGGGGUGAGGAGACGUUCCCAAGGGUCGGAGCUGCACGGCACCGCCGGACUGGAGCUGUUGAGUGUUUCUGUUCCAUUCAAAUAUUCACAAAUAAAUACUGGGGAGGGAGCAGAGCAAGCAGAGCUGCAGGGCAGGGCGAGGGUGCAGCACCGGGUGUGAGGUCAAAGUGAACCAAAAACAGUUAUAAAAAAAACCAAACAACAACAAAAAAAAAAAACCAAAAACCCCAAAACUUAAAACCUAAAGGAUGGGGUGCUCCCCAAAGCCCUGCUGCUCAGUGCACCCCCACAGCCACAGGAAGGGGGGGGGGACGACACGGGGCAGGUAGAGGGGGGCAGGGGACACAGGGCCAUGAGAAAGGCGUGGGGUGGGGCGGGGGGGGGGGGCUGGAGCCGUUGUGCGGCGAUCGUUGGUGGUGUCACUCCCGGAUGUACACUCUGGUGCAGACAACAUCAUCGGCUGUCAUGGUCAGGAUGAGCUCCCCAUCGUUGGUCAGCUCUCGGGACCAGCCCGUCCGGGGCCCCUCGCCCUUCAGCAGCCGCUGCUCACACACCAUCUUGUUCUCACUCUCCCACUUGGCCAAGCUCUUGCAGGGCCGCCCGUCCACCGUUUGCUCCUCGAACUCCUCCCCGAUCCUGAAGCUGAUCUCAGUGGUGCGCACGGUGGUUGAGGUCUUGAUGUAGAAGCUCUCACCGUCCUGCUUGAUCUCCACUGCUGGCUUCGAGGCUGCAGCCACCGCGAUCUUCCGCAGCAUCAUAUUAACGCCCAACGCCUUCAGCAGCUCUUCGAAGUUUUCGGAGCUCUUCAUCUUCCAAUUGCCGGAGAAAUUGGGCAUCGCGGCGAGCCGGGGGCACCGGGGAAAGGGGGAUGGAGCUUGGGAGGAGCAGGUGGUGGAAACGCACAGAGGGGCACCGGCACCGCCGCUCCGUCCGCUCCGCCGGUACCGGCACCGCCGCUCUCCCGCCCCGCAGCCGCUCAGUCGGGCUCCGGCCCCGCGCCGCCGUUUUAUGGCCGGGCUCACCCGCUCCGCCCCCGCCCCGGCCCCGCUGCCGGCGGAGCCCCGCGCUCCUCUCACCUGUGAGGCCGAGCACCGGGACAGCCCUACAGCGUUGCCGAUGCUCCGCGGGCUGCAGCACGGGAAGCAUGGGGAAAGGAACAAACCCCACGCUGCGCCCACCCAUGCACCCCCCAGGCAGAGCUGGAGGGGUCUGACAGGGGGUCACCCCCAUCCCUUUCAUUCCCGUGUAACAGGAUCUAUGCCCCCUCCGGCACAGGGGGAUGAGUGAUGCUCAACGUUUACCCCCAUAUUUGGAGAAAAGAGUGAAAAAAAUGCCACAUUUCCAGGAGAACCGGCUGGAGGGGAGCAUGGGUGGGGUGCAGGCAAAGCUGCAGACCCUCACACUGAGCCCCCAGGACGCAGCCUGGCAGAACCUUCAGGCAGCCCCACAUCUGGAAGGAAUUGCAUGGGGAAGGGUGGAUAAACCCUUUCUGUUCCCCCCUUCCUGGCCAACGAAGCCGUGGCUCUGGCUGCAAACCCGCGUGGGGCCGCUCGUCCCAGGAUGGCUGUGCACGGAGAUGGGGAUUACACUGGAGCCACGGAGCUCCCACACCCGGCUGCACAGCUGGAUCAGCCACUGGAAACAGCUGGCACUGCAAUGCACCCCAGCAAUCCCAGCAAACCUCAGCCAUCUGAGCACCACUGCAGCCCCCCAGUGCCCC
rnacentral:lncRNA from 1 species